rnacentral:misc_RNA from 1 species
AUCGGAUUAGGCUUCGAGCUAUGUCUGAUUUAUGGCUGAGUUCUACUAGCAGAUGCAAGAACUGAAACUUAAUUUGAGGAUCAGAACAAAUUACCAGCUGCAGAAAGAGACUGAUAUUGUGCUUUGAUUGUAGCUCCUGAAGGCCCUGAUGCAUUUGGAAUUGAGGAUAUUGGCAAGCUCCAACCAAUAGAGCAAGGAUCUCACCAGCUUCUUG